rnacentral:rRNA from 1 species
CGGCGGACGGGUGAGUAACGCGUGGGGAACCUGCCCUAUACAGGGGGAUAACAGUUAGAAAUGACUGCUAAUACCGCAUAAGCGCACGGAGCCGCAUGGCGCUGAGUGAAAAACGAUAGUGGUAUAGGAGGGACCCGCGUCUGAUUAGGUAGUUGGUGAGGUAACGGCCCACCAAGCCGACGAUCAGUAGCCGACCUGAGAGAGUGACCGGCCACAUUGGGACUGAGACACGGCCCAAACUCCUACGGAAGGCAGCAG